rnacentral:rRNA from 1 species
CCUACGGGUGGCAGCAGUGGGGGAUAUUGCACAAUGGGGGGAACCCUGAUGCAGCGACGCCGCGUGGGUGAAGAAGUGCCUCGGCGCGUAAAGCCCUGUCAGCAGGGAAGAAAAGGAUGGUAACUGAAGAAGAAGCCCCGGCCAACUACGUGCCAGCAGCCGCGGUAAGACGUAGGGGGCAAGGGUUAUACGGAUUUACGGGGUGUAAAGGGGGUGCAGAGGGCGGUGCAGGCAAGGAGUGAAAGCCCGGGGCCAAACCCCGGGACUGCUCUUGGAACUGCGUGGACGGAGUGCAGGAGGGGCAGGCGGAAUUCCUGGUGUAGCGGUGAAAUGCGUAGAUAUCAGGAGGAACACCGGUGGCGAAGGCGGCCUGCUGGACUGCAACUGACGUUGAGGCCCGAAAGCGUGGGGAGCAAACAGGAUUAGAUACCCCAGUAGUC